rnacentral:rRNA from 1 species
AGUGAACGCUGGCGGUAGGCCUAACACAUGCAAGUCGAACGGCAGCACAGUAAGAGCUUGCUCUUACGGGUGGCGAGUGGCGGACGGGUGAGGAAUACAUCGGAAUCUACUUUUUCGUGGGGGAUAACGUAGGGAAACUUACGCUAAUACCGCAUACGACCUACGGGUGAAAGCAGGGGAUCUUCGGACCUUGCGCGAUUGAAUGAGCCGAUGUCGGAUUAGCUAGUUGGCGGGGUAAAGGCCCACCAAGGCGACGAUCCGUAGCUGGUCUGAGAGGAUGAUCAGCCACACUGGACCUGAGACACGGUCCAGACUCCUACGGGAGGCAGCAGUGGGGAAUAUUGGACAAUGGGCGCAAGCCUGAUCCAGCCAUACCGCGUGGGUGAAGAAGGCCUUCGGGUUGUAAAACCCUUUUGUUGGAAAGAAAAGCAGCAGGUUAAUACCCCGCUGUUCUGACGGUACCCAAAGAAUAAGCACCAGCUAACUUCGUG